AUGGGCACUCCGGUUCCCCUGUGCUACGAGGGCACCGGGAACAGCCCAGCAGGCAGCAGCCAAUGCCACGGCCCACGCGGCACGGAGCAAGGGACAGGGGGUUCGGCCCAAUGCAGGAGCCACGGUGCCAGCGCAGCUCGGCCACGUGGGCUGGAGGCAGCUCGGGCUCUGGGAGCCCCCAGUGCGUCCCAUGGACCCCACACAGCCCCAACUAAUGGGAACGUGGUGCCAGGCCCCCGAAGGGCGAGAAAAGCAGCCAGGCUGCCUCCCGCAGGGAGGGCGGGAGAGCCGCUGGUGCCAGGGGACCCCACCCCGUCCGCCACCCCGCAGACGUGGACCCCGGACACCGGGCAGACCCGGGCCCCAACCCCCUCACACGGGGCCGGCGUCCCCGCCACCCCCCGGUGCCGCAGCUCGGCCGCGGGAAGCGCACGGAGUUCAGGACGAGCCCGGCCCCCGCGCAGCCCCGAGGCCGCGCCCCGCACAGCCCCGCGGCGAGGACUCCCCCUCCCGGUGCCCGUCUGCCCCAGCGGCUCCGGUCCCAGCGCCCCGGAGAGGGGACGCGCCAAGGGCAGCCCGGCCCGCGGGCCCCGGCGCACCCCGAGCGAGGGGAGGACGUGCCCGGGCAAGCGGCGGCAAGGAGCGGGGCCGGGCGGCCGCUGCCGGGAACCGCCGGAUCCGCUCGCGGUGUCUCCAGCACCGGGCCCGGCUCCGAACCCCCUCGGAACGGGCAGCCCGCGAGCACCGCAUCGCACCCCUCGCACGGGACGGGCUCCGGGCCCCGCUGAACCGCGGCCGCGCGCCGGGAGCGGGGCGGGUGCAGCGCAAACCCAGCGCGGGGCAGGACGGCCUCGGGCCGAACCGAACCGCGCGCCGCGACCGGUGCUGUCCGGUGCCGCUCGGACCCACCCGGUCUCCCUGGGCGCGGAGCUCGAAGGACGCCUCCUCCUCGGCCUCGCCGUCCGCCUCCCGCUCCGCUUCGCCGUAGUCCCGGCGCAGCAGCGUGAAGCCCUGCCGGCAGCACAGCAGCCACCAGAGCCCGCCGGGGAACGGCAUCGCCCCGCCGGGCCCGGCUCCGUUCCCGCGCCGCGCACC
rnacentral:lncRNA from 1 species